UAUCAAAUAAGCCCACAGACAAACUCCGUGCCCUGCCUCUGUGGUUAUCUUUACAAUACUUGGGACUUGAUGGGUUUGUGGAGAGGAUCAAGCAUGCCUGUCAACUGAGUCAAUGGUUGCAGGAAAGUUUGAAGAAAGUGAAUUACAUCAAAAUCUUGGUGGAAGAUGAGCUCAGCUCCCCAGUGGUGGUGUUCAGAUUUUUCCAAGAAUUACCAGGCUCAGAUCCAGUGUUUAAAGCCGUCCCAGUGCCCAACAUGACACCUUCAGCAGUCGGCCGGGAGAGGCACUCGUGUGAUGCGCUGAAUCUCUGGCUGGGAGAACAGCUGAAGCAGCUGGUGCCUGCGAGCGGCCUCACAGUCAUGGAUCUGGAAGCUGAGGGCACGUGUUUGCGGUUCAGCCCUUUGAUGACCGCAGCAGGUAUGAUCUCGUGAAACCUUGAGAGAAACUGAAUGAGGAAUGAAACUAUUGUUCCUGUUUCACACAGAAGAAAACUGAGGUUGGCACUCAUGAUGAGCCCCUGUUCUCAUUCUGCAAAUGGUGAAGCUCUCUAUCGUCCUGACCCCACAGUUCCUGUCCCAUGACCAGGGCCCGCUCACCAAGGAGCUGCAGCAGCACGUAAAGUCAGUGACAUGCCCAUGCGAGUACCUGAGGAAGACGAUCCUACACCUGCCACCUCCGAUGGAUCCACUGCCUCUGUGCCUGCCUGUACUGCCGAUGCUCCAGUGGAUAACUCAGCAUCCCAGCCAAGGCCCAAUGCCACUGAAGAUGGACCUGCCCCCUGGGGACCCAGGAGUCCUACCACUCAGCUGUCCCCAGGAGUGCCCAGACCCUCAUUCUUAUCCAGGACCUAGGAGCCUUACCCCUGGCCUUCCCUCAUCAGCCGUAAAUGAUGAUUUACUGCUGUUACCAUCAUCACUGCCUUCAGUGACCAAGGGCCUUCCAAGGUGCCAGCUCUGGAACGAAGGAUGCCCUUGGGAGGUGAUGACACUCAGGUGACCUUGAGGAACCCUGGGAGCUCAGGAAGGAAGGAGCGCCCAGAAGCAGGGACAGGGAGCUGGUUGGGGAGGACCAGAAAUCAG
ensembl:lncRNA PDXDC2P-NPIPB14P PDXDC2P-NPIPB14P readthrough, transcribed pseudogene